AUUGAACGCUGGCGGCAUGCCUUACACAUGCAAGUCGAACGGCAGCACGGGUGCUUGCACCUGGUGGCGAGUGGCGAACGGGUGAGUAAUACAUCGGAACGUACCUUAUCGUGGGGGAGAACGCAGCGAAAGUUGCGCUAAUACUGCAUACGACUUUAUGGGGAAAGCGGGGGACCUAAAGGCCUCGCGCUUUUAGAGCGGCCGAUGUUUGAUUAGCUUGUUGGUGAGUAAAAAGCUAACCAAGGAACUGAUCAGUAACUGGUCCGAGAGGACGAUCAGCCCACCGGGACCUGAGCACCGGCCCAGCUCCCUACGGGAGGCAGAGGUGGGAAAUUUUGGAAAAGGGCGGCAACCCUGCGCCAGCAAUGCCGCGUGAGUGAAGAAGGCCUUCGGGUUGUAAAGCCCUUUUGUCAGGGAAGAAACAGCAGCACUAACCCAGGCUGCGAAUGACGGUACCUGAAGAAUAAGCCCCGGCUAACUACGUG
rnacentral:rRNA from 1 species